rnacentral:rRNA from 1 species
UACGGGGGGAGCAAGCGUUGUUCGGAUUUACUGGGCGUAAAGGGCGCGUAGGUGGCCACCGCAAGUCGACUGUGAAAUCUCCGGGCUUAACCCGGAAAGGUCAGCCGAUACUGCGGGGCUAGAGUGCAGAAGGGGCAACUGGAAUUCUCGGUGUAGCGGUGAAAUGCGUAGAUAUCGAGAGGAACACCUGCGGCGAAGGCGGGUUGCUGGGCUGACACUGACGCUGAGGCGCGAAAGCUAGGGGAGCGAACGGG